GCUCGAGAGCAUUGGCCCAGGCAUCCUCUGGUUGAUAGCACCAGCUCCAAAAUUUGGAAAUACUGGACAUCUAGUUGGCUCCAAUUUGUAAACCACAGGAUGAGCAUUCAGUGGGCAUGAGAGAUUGAGAACGUUCUGCCACACCGUAAACCUUGUGUAGAUCACUUCCUUUUCUGUGGAUUGAAGCCAAGAGCACAAUGAGUACAAGAAAUCCCCAGAGAAAGCUGCGUGGUGGAACCGUAAAUUCUAGACAAACCCAGAAGCAAACUCAGGAAACAACUUCAACCCCUGAGAUUUCCUUGGAAGCAGAACCCAUAGAACUUGUGGAAACUCUUGGAGAUGAAAUCAUGGACCUUACCUGUGAAUCUUUAGAGCCUGAGGUUGUGGGGUGACUCACAAUGACUCUGUUAUGAUUGUUGAAAAAAGAAGAAGGCCAAGGAGAAAUGGGAGGAGGUUGCGCCAAGACCAUGCUGACAGCUGUGUGGUGAGCAGUGAUGAUGAGGAACUGUCUAGGGACAAAGAUGUGUACAUGACUACCCAUACUCCUUGAAGCACCAUGGAUGACAGAGCUACUGGACUCAGGACCAAGGGUACUGUCAGUUGUCCUAUCUGCAUGGAUGGAUACUCUGAGAUUGUGCAGAAUGGGCAUCUCAUUGUUUCUACAGAAUGUGGCCAUGUCUUCUGUAGCCAGUCCCUCUAUGAUUCCUUUAAGAAUGCUAAAACUUGACCAACUUGUAGGAAGAAGAUCAACCAUAAAGGAUACCACCUCAUUUAUAUGUGA